rnacentral:rRNA from 1 species
GGUUAAGCGACUAAGCGUACACGGUGGAUGCCCUGGCAGUCAGAGGCGAUGAAGGACGUGCUAAUCUGCGAUAAGCGUCGGUAAGGUGAUAUGAACCGUUAUAACCGGCGAUUUCCGAAUGGGGAAACCCAGUGUGUUUCGACACACUAUCAUUAACUGAAUCCAUAGGUUAAUGAGGCGAACCGGGGGAACUGAAACAUCUAAGUACCCCGAGGAAAAGAAAUCAACCGAGAUUCCCCCAGUAGCGGCGAGCGAACGGGGAGGAGCCCAGAGCCUGAAUCAGUGUGUGUGUUAGUGGAAGCGUCUGGAAAGGCGCGCGAUACAGGGUGACAGCCCCGUACACAAAAAUGCACAUGCUGUGAGCUCGAUGAGUAGGGCGGGACACGUGGUAUCCUGUCUGAAUAUGGGGGGACCAUCCUCCAAGGCUAAAUACUCCUGACUGACCGAUAGUGAACCAGUACCGUGAGGGAAAGGCGAAAAGAACCCCGGCGAGGGGAGUGAAAAAGAACCUGAAACCGUGUACGUACAAGCAGUGGGAGCACGCUUAGGCGUGUGACUGCGUACCUUUUGUAUAAUGGGUCAGCGACUUAUAUUCUGUAGCAAGGUUAACCGAAUAGGGGAGCCGAAGGGAAACCGAGUCUUAACUGGGCGUUAAGUUGCAGGGUAUAGACCCGAAACCCGGUGAUCUAGCCAUGGGCAGGUUGAAGGUUGGGUAACACUAACUGGAGGACCGAACCGACUAAUGUUGAAAAAUUAGCGGAUGACUUGUGGCUGGGGGUGAAAGGCCAAUCAAACCGGGAGAUAGCUGGUUCUCCCCGAAAGCUAUUUAGGUAGCGCCUCGUGAAUUCAUCUCCGGGGGUAGAGCACUGUUUCGGCAAGGGGGUCAUCCCGACUUACCAACCCGAUGCAAACUGCGAAUACCGGAGAAUGUUAUCACGGGAGACACACGGCGGGUGCUAACGUCCGUCGUGAAGAGGGAAACAACCCAGACCGCCAGCUAAGGUCCCAAAGUCAUGGUUAAGUGGGAAACGAUGUGGGAAGGCCCAGACAGCCAGGAUGUUGGCUUAGAAGCAGCCAUCAUUUAAAGAAAGCGUAAUAGCUCACUGGUCGAGUCGGCCUGCGCGGAAGAUGUAACGGGGCUAAACCAUGCACCGAAGCUGCGGCAGCGACACUAUGUGUUGUUGGGUAGGGGAGCGUUCUGUAAGCCUGCGAAGGUGUGCUGUGAGGCAUGCUGGAGGUAUCAGAAGUGCGAAUGCUGACAUAAGUAACGAUAAAGCGGGUGAAAAGCCCGCUCGCCGGAAGACCAAGGGUUCCUGUCCAACGUUAAUCGGGGCAGGGUGAGUCGACCCCUAAGGCGAGGCCGAAAGGCGUAGUCGAUGGGAAACAGGUUAAUAUUCCUGUACUUGGUGUUACUGCGAAGGGGGGACGGAGAAGGCUAUGUUGGCCGGGCGACGGUUGUCCCGGUUUAAGCGUGUAGGCUGGUUUUCCAGGCAAAUCCGGAAAAUCAAGGCUGAGGCGUGAUGACGAGGCACUACGGUGCUGAAGCAACAAAUGCCCUGCUUCCAGGAAAAGCCUCUAAGCAUCAGGUAACAUCAAAUCGUACCCCAAACCGACACAGGUGGUCAGGUAGAGAAUACCAAGGCGCUUGAGAGAACUCGGGUGAAGGAACUAGGCAAAAUGGUGCCGUAACUUCGGGAGAAGGCACGCUGAUAUGUAGGUGAAGUCCCUCGCGGAUGGAGCUGAAAUCAGUCGAAGAUACCAGCUGGCUGCAACUGUUUAUUAAAAACACAGCACUGUGCAAACACGAAAGUGGACGUAUACGGUGUGACGCCUGCCCGGUGCCGGAAGGUUAAUUGAUGGGGUCAGCGCAAGCGAAGCUCUUGAUCGAAGCCCCGGUAAACGGCGGCCGUAACUAUAACGGUCCUAAGGUAGCGAAAUUCCUUGUCGGGUAAGUUCCGACCUGCACGAAUGGCGUAAUGAUGGCCAGGCUGUCUCCACCCGAGACUCAGUGAAAUUGAACUCGCUGUGAAGAUGCAGUGUACCCGCGGCAAGACGGAAAGACCCCGUGAACCUUUACUAUAGCUUGACACUGAACAUUGAGCCUUGAUGUGUAGGAUAGGUGGGAGGCUUAGAAGUGUGGACGCCAGUCUGCAUGGAGCCGACCUUGAAAUACCACCCUUUAAUGUUUGAUGUUCUAACGUUGACCCGUAAUCCGGGUUGCGGACAGUGUCUGGUGGGUAGUUUGACUGGGGCGGUCUCCUCCUAAAGAGUAACGGAGGAGCACGAAGGUUGGCUAAUCCUGGUCGGACAUCAGGAGGUUAGUGCAAUGGCAUAAGCCAGCUUGACUGCGAGCGUGACGGCGCGAGCAGGUGCGAAAGCAGGUCAUAGUGAUCCGGUGGUUCUGAAUGGAAGGGCCAUCGCUCAACGGAUAAAAGGUACUCCGGGGAUAACAGGCUGAUACCGCCCAAGAGUUCAUAUCGACGGCGGUGUUUGGCACCUCGAUGUCGGCUCAUCACAUCCUGGGGCUGAAGUAGGUCCCAAGGGUAUGGCUGUUCGCCAUUUAAAGUGGUACGCGAGCUGGGUUUAGAACGUCGUGAGACAGUUCGGUCCCUAUCUGCCGUGGGCGCUGGAGAACUGAGGGGGGCUGCUCCUAGUACGAGAGGACCGGAGUGGACGCAUCACUGGUGUUCGGGUUGUCAUGCCAAUGGCACUGCCCGGUAGCUAAAUGCGGAAGAGAUAAGUGCUGAAAGCAUCUAAGCACGAAACUUGCCCCGAGAUGAGUUCUCCCUGACUCCUUGAGAGUCCUGAAGGAACGUUGAAGACGACGACGUUGAUAGGCCGGGUGUGUAAGCGCAGCGAUGCGUUGAGCUAACCGGUACUAAUGAACCGUGAGGCUUAACCUU